GGUUUAAUUCGAUGAUACGCGAGGAACCUUACCCGGGCUUGAAUUGCAGAGGAAGGAUUUGGAGACAAUGACGCCCUUCGGGUCGUCUGUGAAGGUGCUGCAUGGUUGUCGUCAGCUCGUGCCGUGAGGUGUCGGCUUAAGUGCCAUAACGAGCGCAACCCCUCUCCUUAGUUGCCAUCAGGUGAAGCUGGGCACUCUGGGGACACUGCCACCGUAAGGUGUGA
rnacentral:rRNA from 1 species